rnacentral:lncRNA from 1 species
UCUUUUAACAAAAGGGAGUGUAAUUUACUAAAAAAAAGGGUAUAAUUUUCUUUGUCUUCAUUUGAACAGACCUUUCUAACUUGAAGCCACUUCGCUAUCCAAAUCUUUAUGAUAAAAAUGCUCACUUUGAAGUGCCACCAUAGCAUUACUAAUCUUCAUAUUCUUCAUGAAGAAGAACACAAUAUGUUGAAUGCUAUAUGAGAAUAAUAUCUCAUCACAAUACAUCACCAGAUUCUAUAUUGUGUGAGUAUAUAUAUGGGUUAAUUCCAAGUUGUUUUUGUGGUAGUGGGUGAUGUGUAGUCCAUCUUACGUUUCAAUGAUUAAGAAAUUCUUCUACAUAUGAAAUCAUUGGAUUUGUAAAUCGUAAUUGUUUGGUUGCUUCCAUGACCUUAAUGAUUCAUUGCGAAUUGAGAGAAAAAUUAUGUUGGAGGAAAUUGAUCAAAGGAAAACAAGAAACAAAGUGAGAAAUGAAUUAUGUUGGUAGUUAUUAAUCACACAUAAUUAAUUUUUGGAAGUUGUUAGUAAUCUUAUGUGGUUGUUGUAAUCUAUCUAUAUUAUCUAUCUAUCUUUGCUAUAUUUCAAACUAAGCUUGAGUUAUUCUUAUGC